UUACCCCUACGGGGGGCAGCAGUGAGGAAUAUUGGUCAAUGGACGAGAGUCUGAACCAGCCAAGUAGCGUGAAGGAUGACUGCCCUAUGGGUUGUAAACUUCUUUUAUAUGGGAAUAAAGUGAGCCACGUGUGGCUUUUUGUAUGUACCAUACGAAUAAGGAUCGGCUAACUCCGUGCCAGCAGCCGCGGUAAUACGGAGGAUCCGAGCGUUAUCCGGAUUUAUUGGGUUUAAAGGUAGCGUAGGCGGAUUAUUAAUUCAGUUGUGAAAGUUUGCGGCUCAACCGUAAAGUUUGAGUUGAUACUG
rnacentral:rRNA from 1 species